UUUGGACAGAAAUCGUUUGGACAGAAUUCGUUGCUACGGAGAAAAUUUGCCCAGUAACUAAGAGAGUCAUAGACACUCCUGCCGUUUACCCGCGCUUGCUUGAAUUUCUUCACGUUGACAUUCAGAGCACUGGGCAGAAAUCACAUUGCGUCAACACCCGCUAGGGCCAUCGCAAUGCUUUGUUUUAAUUAGACAGUCGGAUUCCCCCAGUCCGUGCCAGUUCUGAGCUGACCGUUAAUAGUCGGAGAGCUAGACGACCGUGACGGCAAGCCGUCACGGAAGCCUCGCAGCGAGGCAGAUCCGCGGGAGGCCAAGGCACGGGACCGAGCACGGAUCCGGUUAUUACCUUCACCUCGCCCAGGCCCGGCACGUCAGCCAAACCCGCUUCCCGACCAAGCCCGACACGCCCCGAUCCUCAGAGCCAAUCCUUAUUCCGAAGUUACGGAUCCAAUUUGCCGACUUCCCUUACCUACAUUAGUCUAUCGACUAGAGGCUCUUCACCUUGGAGACCUGCUGCGGAUAUGGGUACGAACCAGCGCGACACCUCCACGUGGCCCUCUCCUGAAUUUUCAAGGUCCGAGGGGAAGAUCCGGACACCGCCGCAACUGCGGUGCUCUUCGCGUUCCAAACCCUAUCUCCCUGCUAGAGGAUUCCAGGGAACUCGAACGCUUAUACAGAAAAGAAAACUCUUUCCGGAUCUCCCGACGGCGUCUCCAGGUCUUUUUGGGUUACCCCGACGAGCUCUCUUGCGAGGGCCCGACUUGUAAACGGUUCCGCUGCCAGGUUCUGGAAUAGGAACCGAAUUCCCUUUCGCCCGACGGGUGUGUUUCGAUUCGAGCCGCGCGCACGCACGCGAACGGAUCCGUUUUUUCCUCCGGGCGAC
rnacentral:misc_RNA from 1 species